AAUUUGACAAUGAUUAAAGGUGAGUGUAAAGGAAAUCAAACUAAAUUAUCCAAUAAAAUAAAUAAUAAUUAAGCAUAUAUGAACAACAAGCAUCCAAAAUUGAUUAUAAUUAUAUAGAAAAUAUGCAGCUAGAGAUUUCGGCAACCGGUACCGAUCUCAUCCUAUGACAGUGCUUCAUCCAAAAUUCUGAUAAUCGUCAAAAGAGAAUUUGAAGACAAUCAAUUAAAACCCAAACAAGAUCAUUAAAAUAUGAACCGCCAACUUAAAGAUCAAAACCAACAAGAACCCGAUCAAAAUUAUUCUUAAUUAACUAAAUAAUUAAAAACCACAUGAAUAUAUGAUAAAGAAAUUAGGCUAACUAGCUAAAACCUAAAGUUUCAAAAGAUUUCAAUUGAUCGAUUAGUCAUACAAUUAUUCUAUUAAUCACCAUAGACUAACUGAUUAAUUCACUCAAUUAACACUUAUAACAGAACCAUAACUGAUUUAACAAGUUAACAUUAC
rnacentral:lncRNA from 1 species